UGCAAGUGGAGAUAACUUUUCUCCUCCAAGUGAGAAUAGCGUUAUAUUCUCAACUUCAUUGCUUAAUAUCCUGGAAGACUAAAUUUGGAAUAAUGAGCAACGAAGUCAUAGUAAUUCCUCGAUUAGAGAAAUACCAAGUUCAUGCAUGAAUUACUUUUAAUUGAAUUAAUGUCUUAUAGUAUGUUUUGUGAUUAUUAAAAUGGGUGAAAGCUCCUUCGUUUGUGUCAAAGAAAUCUUUUCCACUUACUAUGAAUAAGAUUAACAAAUAAUCAAACUGAAAGCAGGAAAUAUGGUAAAGCCAUUUUAAAGUUUAAUAGACAAAAGGGACUUUUACAUGAGAAGAUUUUUUUUUUAUUUUCGUCUCUCUUGAUUUUGAACAAAUAACAAAUUUAGCAAAAAAAUGCAUAAAAAAAUCAAUGUUCCAAGAGUCUCUGUCAGAGUAGCGCAUUAUUAUGUCAAGCAAAGCACUGUGUCAAUAUUCAUAUUAAGUGGAAUAGAAAUGCAUGCAUAUUAAUAUAUCCCAAAGUAAUUUCUGUCUAUUUCUGGUUGCGACACUAACUUUUUCCAUAAUUCUUCCUAUGUUUGUGAGAUAAUGUAAACAUUUGCGAGAUAAAGUUUGCGUUAUCCCUCAAAGGUUUGCGGUAUCUCGCAAAGGUUUGUGUUAUAACUCAAAAUUUGAAUUAUCUCACAAAAGUGUGCAAUAUAACGCAAACAUAGGAAGAAAUGUUAAAAAAAAGUUUGUGUGUAAUACGCCUCCAUAGGAACUGGUACUUUCAUGCAUUUAGUUUUUUAUUAUUAUUUUUUUUAAUUAAGGAGAUUUUCGUUGUUAGGGGAUAGGAUAUCUAUUUGGCUGAUUUUACCUUGUAUAAUCCACAGAUCCAAAAUAUGAUAUUUGUUUGUCUCUAUUGGUUGUUCCUCUAUUUUCUCAGAUAAGAUUGUUUGUCUCUAUUGGUUGUUCCUCUAUUGUCUCAGAUAAGAUUGUUUGUCUCUAUUGGUUGUUCCUUUAUUUUCCCAGAUAAGGUUGUUUGUCUCUAUUGGUUGUUCCUCUAUUUUCUCAGAUAAGGAUGUUUGUCUCUAUUGGUUGCUCCUCUAUUGUCUCAGAUAAGGUUGUUUGUCUCUAUUGGUUGUUCCUCUAUUGUUUUUUCUCAGAUAAGGUUGUUUGUCUCUAUUGGUUGCUCCUCUAUUGUCUGUGAUAAGGUUGUUUGUCUCUAUUGGUUGCUCCUCUAUUGUCUGUGAUAAGGUUGUUUGUCUCUAUUGGUUGUUCCUCUAUUUUCUCAGAUAAAGUUGUUUGUCUCUAUUGGUUGUUCCUCUAUUUUCUCAGAUAAGGUUGUUUGUCUCUAUUGGUUGCUCCUCUAUUGUCUCAGAUAAGGAUGUUUGUCUCUAUUGGUUGCUCCUCUAUUGUCUCAGAUAAGGUUGUUUGUCUCUAUUGGUUGUUCCUCUAUUUUCUCAGAUAAGGUUGUUUGUCUCUAUUGGUUGUUCCUCUAUUUUCUCAGAUAAGGUUGUUUGUCUCUAUUGGUUGCUCCUCUAUUUUCUCAGAUAAGGAUAUUUGUCUCUAUUGGUUGAUCCUCUAUUGUCUCAGAUAAGGUUGUUUGUCUCUAUUGGUUGUUCCUCUAUUGUCUUUUCUCAUAUAAGGUUGUUUGUCUCUAUUGGUUGCUCCUCUAUUGUCUGUGAUAAGAUUGUUUGUCUCUAUUGGUUGCUACUCUAUUGUCUAUGAUAAGGUUGUUUGUCUCUAUUGGUUGUUCCUCUAUUAUCUCAGAUAAAGUUGUUUGUCUCUAUUGGUUGUUCCUCUAUUUUCUCAGAUAAGGUUGUUUGUCUCUAUUGGUUGUGCCUCUAUUUUCUCAGAUAAGGUUGUUUGUCUCUAUUGGUUGUUCCUCUGUUUUCUCAGAUGAAGUUGUUUGUUUCUAUUGGUUGUUCCCCUAUUUUCUCAGAUAAGGUUGUUUGUCUCUAUUGGUUGUUCCUCUAUUUUCUCAGACAAUGUUGUUUGUCUCUAUUGGUUGUUCCUCUAUUGUCUCAGAUAAGGUUGUUUGUCUCUAUUGGUGGUUCCUCUAUUGUCUCAGAUAAGGUUGUUUGUCUCUAUUGGUUGCUCCCCUAUUGUCUCAGAUAAGGUUGUUUGUCUCUAUUGGUUGUUCCUCUAUUGUCUCAGAUAAAGUUGUUUGUCUCUAUUGGUUGUUCCUCUGUUGUCUUUUCUCAGAUAAGAUUGUUUGUCUCUAUUGGUUGCUCCUCUAUUGUCUGUGAUUAGGUUGUUUGUCUCUAUUGGUUAUUCCUCUAUUUUCUCAGAUAAAGUUGUUUGUCUCUAUUGGUUGUUCCUCUAUUUUCUCAGAUAAGAUUGUUUGUCUCUAUUGGUUGUUCCUCUAUUGUCUCAGAUAAAGUUGUUUGUCUCUAUUGGUUGUUCCUCUAUUGUCUCAGAUAAGGUUGUUUGUCUCUAUUGGUUGUUCCUCUUUUGUCUCAGAUAAAGUUGUUUGUUUCUAUUGUUUGUUCCUCUAUUUUCUCAGAUGAGGUUGUUUGUCUCUAUUGGUUGUUCCUCUAUUUUCUCAGAUGAGUCGGUUUGGUGGUAAUUGGUGUGAUCUGUUGUCCCGUCCACUUUUUUAAAGUUAUUCCUGUUAACCUUUUUAUGUAUUAUUAAUAUUACUGAUAUCAUUUUACAGUAAGAAGGGUUUAUUUCAGAUUAAGACGACAUAAGUUUACGUAUGUUCAGACCGGGUGCGUCGACAGUGUAAGCGUUUUCUGCUAAGUAUGCAGAACGACACUCAUAUAUUUAUAAGUCGAAACUGCAUUCAAUAGUAGUUAAAUCAAAAUGGUAAAAUAUAUAAAUUAUAACAUGUAAUUUUAUGCUCAAGAUAAGACUUAUGUUCUUCGGAUGUUUUAAAGGGGCAUUAGCUACGAGAUAUGAAAAAAAUUAGAAUAUGAUUUUGUUUGAUUCAAUCAUUAAUUAAAGUGAAAUAAUGAAAUAAUUAUUCGCUUUUAGUAGCCAAUUUGGUUCAAUUUUGUCAAAAAUUCAAAGAAACAUCGCUGAUGAAUUAUUCACUUGCAAGUGAAUAAUUCGACCUCAUUGAAUCCGUAUUCAUGUGACCUUCAAUUUAACCAAUUCGCUAGAGAUUGGUUACUAUAAAUAAGAAGAUGUGGUAUGAGUGCCAAUGAGACAAAUCUCCAUCCAAGUCACAAUGUAUAAAAAGUAAACAAUUUUAGGUUAACGUACGGCCUUCGCAUGUAUUAGUCGUGUUCAGCCAUUAAAGGGAAAAGAAUGUCAACAUUGAAAGUGAAACAAAGGUGCAUUUCGUUGACUGAUUCGAUCCACAAAAAAAUCAUUCUUAUACAGGUAAAAACGACAAUUAACUUAUUUUUUUAACGUAUAAAAUGAAAUCAAACAGACCUAAAAUCCAAUUGCAUGAGGUCGCUAUCUUUUUUUAUUUAUGUUUAUGUUUAUAUCGGGUUAUGUGACCGUCGGCAGUCUUCGGAGGUCAUCUCGAUAGUUAAUUAGAUGGCGUCUAGACUAAAAUACACACGAAAUUCUGAUGUGUAUUAUCGAGUACAUGCAUUGUUAACUGUUUAUUUCAGACUUAUUGUAAUUUGGAUAUACUUUUCAGUAUGUUAUAAAUCAAAUAUGAGAAUUUGAGUCAAAUCGGUGAACAUGAAUUUGACAGCUAAUGCCCCUUUAAUAAUGGAAGUAUCACUUAUUGUCUUUUUGGUUUUUUUUGUUUCUGUAGAUAUUCUUAAUACCAUAAAACUUUUUUAAAAAGCGUGUUGUUAAUUAGAGCAGAUGAAUAGAGAGGAAAACAAUGGUGUUUUAUUAAAGAUUAAAAUCUACAAAGGUUUAUGCACCAGAUGCACAUUUCAAUUUCAACGGAUAAUCUUUAUAUGAAAUGAACGUUAGAGAACCGAACCAAACGGAAAUGAAUGAUAAAGUAGAGGCAAAUCCUGUUGAGAAAUUACUGACGGAUGUGCGAUCCUUUAUCGACAAAUUGAAUAUCUUAAUUCUGUCACUUAAAUGACAUACAAUUAUAUCUGCAUGUUAAUGCAAGAACGAAUGUUUAAAACUACUGAGCAGUACUUAAUAUCAGAAACUAACAGUCCACAAGGAAUGCUAACGACCCAGUGACAAUGAUUGUUAAAUGGCACGAAUUCAUCGCACUAGACGCGAAUUUAGCUAGUGAUGUUCGAGGCCACUUUUUUUGUGAAUCCGAAACCAUCAUAAUUGAAGAUAUUAACCAAAUCAUGAAAUGCAGCUAACAAAAAUGGGAAAACUGCAUUAACACAAAUUUUAAUGUUUAUGGUGAUACUUGAGACUGAUAAAUUUUCGAAAUUCUAUAUCGCUAUUACAAAUUUAAAUGUCGACUCAGAUGUCAUCUUUCGAAAUACACCACUGUUACGGAUAAAAAUCCAUUAUAAAGUAUGAAUGUAAUGAUUAAUAGCUUUUAUUCACAAACCUCACCCAUAUAAGCAUACAUUAUAUCUAUGAGCUUUUAAUUUCUGUAAAAAAGCAUUACCUUGAAUUACUUGCUUUCUUUCAGUGACACAAGUUUUAAACUGUUGGAGUUCUAACAGAAUAAUAAAACGCACAACAAUUUUCUGUUUAUUUUAUCGGCAGUUAAUUAUUUUUAUGCAUGAAAUUAGAUAUUUAUUCGUUUAGUGGAUUUGUGUGUGCGUUCAAGUUCAUGUGCAAGGCAUUUGAUUAUUUAGACAGUUGGUUCUUGAUUUGCAUUUGUUAAGUAUUAAGAUAAUUAUUAACGAUCGGUUCUGAAGAGGGAUCAUUAUUUUUCUACCCCAGGUAACUUGAUAUAAGGUUGAAAACUGAAGGCUGUGUUUUUUCAAAUAUUAUAAAACAUCUGAAUAUUAUUCAAAUAAUUUACAUCACCACAAAAUCUGCUGAAAAUUUAUUUGAGUUUGAAGUUAGUUUUACUUAUGCUAUGACAAACAAAGUCAAAAAUCAAAUAAAUUCAUACUACAGAAUUUUACUGCAACUGAUAUUUAUCAUUGAAAGUAAAUGUAUCAUAACUAGUGAGCUACACAAAGGCAAAUAUGCAAAGAAAUGUUCAAACAAACCAUUAACCCAAAAUCUGAAAGUUUGCAUGUCUUUAAGUAUAUUUUGUAAAUAUAUUUGUCCACCUAAUUAUUUUCUUUCUCCCUUUCAACAUUUGUAAUGGUCUUUGUGAGGAGCAGUAGUUUUCUGAUGUUUAAAAACCUUAAAUUGAAAAAAAAAAGAAAACAAAAAGGCUAAAAGAAAACGCACGGAAAGGCUGCAUAUAAUCUAUUUUAGACGUGUUAAGAUAUACAAUUUUCAUAGUUUGUUACAUGUAGUUGUAAAGUUGUAAUUUAUAAAUAUAAAUGAGCAAAUCAAGUUAUUCGCCUGAAUAACAUACACUGUGGUGAACACACACACAAUAAGCAUGGCCAUCCUUGCAGUUCAAAACCCCCUGCAAAGUAAUUCACAGCAUACAACCUAUGAUGAAAAUUUGAAGCAUCGCUUUUGCUGCUAGUUUUAUCAGGAGAUCUGCAGUACCCGGUCUUCGAUUUAUUGUGUGUUUUGAACAUUUGGUCAUGUUGUUUUAUAACCUGUUUACAGUUUGUGAUUAGCCCUUGUUAAACUUGACUUUUCGAACUAUUGACUCAAUUGAUCCAAUAUUUGUGUAUCUAAUAUAAACUUAAUUUAUAUACAUGUAUCAUUGUUUAAUCAUAUAGAUUUAGUUUUUUACGCCAAAGUAGAAUACUUAUGAUGCAUUAGCAGACAAUUAAGUCAUUCAGCGAAAAAUACCGUGGGUUGCUUUUCACUUAGAAUAAGAUAAAUCGUUGAAAAUUUUAUGAACUGAUGGUUUUUUUUUAGGGGAGUUAUUUUAGUUUAAAAGAAAAAAAACUUAUUUUCUGGUAUGAUGCCUUUGAGAAUAAGUAUUUAGCAAUGUUGAUAUGAAUAAAAAAAAAAACAUAUGUGGGGUAUACCCAAAUGAGACAGCAACAAGAUAACUCAUAAAACCUAAGUAGUUUAUCAGGCCAACAUAUGGUCUUCCGCAAUGUAUAAGUGUCUAUACAAUAAGUCCAGAUCCAGCUCGCCCAGAGUCUAGAAACGUUAUCUGAUAAGCAUUUGUGAUAAAAUCUCCGUAUUGGUUUUGAGAUAACAAGACUUGGUAAAAAGGGAUAUCCAUUAACAUAUGCAUACAGUUAGAUGUGAGUUUAUCCAAUCGUUGUUCUUAUUUUUUCUGCAAUCCAGACAUAUGUUAGACUGAGUUUUAUUUAGUUUUAAUGUAUAUAGAUUGAUGUAUUUUGUAGUUUUCUGCUAUGAAUCAUAACAGGAUUAAGAAUAUAUAUUACUGUCUCCCGCAUUAUUUUAAGAACAAGUGAAUGAUGGUUAAAUGACUUAUCAGUCUCAAUUUUGAAUUCUUAUUCAUUUUUACCGGAUUCUAAAUGUUAAACUGUUCAACCUUGUAAAUUUAUAUUAGAGGAAUGAGUCAGAAAAAAGUAAUGAAAUUCAACUCAUACAAGCUAUAACAUAUUUUUAUACAACAUUGUUACUUUGCAUUCAAAAACGAUUUCACAAAUAGUAUGGUGAAAAUUAACGGUAUAUUAGUAUGGAAGUUUUAACACAAUUUCUUGUGUCUUUCAA